rnacentral:lncRNA from 1 species
CGGCCGCUCGCGGGGUGCGCCGGGGGCUCCGAUGGGAACCGAGCGCGGGGGGCCCGGGACCACACAGGUGAGCCCCGCCCGCGGGCUCCCGAUCCACCGAGUUCCCCUAUCCCACGAUCCCGCCCGCCAUCCCCUCCCCCUCGCUUCUCCACCCCAGCUCCGAAGCACUUUCCCAAGCCCGAAGGAGCCCUCGCUGCACCCCGAACCCGUUCUCCGCGUCCUGCUUUCUCCGAGGGAAAAAAAAAAAAGGAGAGAAAGAGAGAGAAGCAAGCAGAUGCGGCGCAAAGCGGGGCGCAGGACGGCAAGAGGCCGCUUCCAGCCUGGAGGGACUUUUCUUGGAAAGGUGGAGACCCCCGGAGGAGUGCGACUCCCCAAGGCCCUGGAGCGAAAAGGCGUUCGCGGGUCAGCCUUGCUGCCAGAAAAAUUUAGCAAACUUCGGGCAGAUCCUCCCACCUGGGGCGAGAGCUCUGGCUGGCCUGGGGCUCAGCCCCGGGACCUUUCCUUUCACACUUUAAGAGCCUCAAGGCACUUUUUCCGUGGAAACCAGGCCAGAGCGAGGACAACUU